AGAGUUAAAUAGUACGUGAAAUUGUUGAAAGGGAAACGAUUGAAGUCAGUCAUGCCGGUGAGAAUCAACUUUGGGGAAGGGGGAUUUUUUUUUGAACCUAACCUUGAAGUGCACUUCUUCGCUUGGCAGGUUAGCGUCGAUUUUGAACGUCAUAAAAUGAUUGGGGGAAGGUAGCUCUUUCGGGGAGUGUUAUAGCCCUUAAUUAAUGUGAUAUUUGGGAUCGAGGAUUGCAACGGAUACCUUUUUAGGCUAGCCGCCUGGCCUCUGAUUCGAUGUUGGGUUAUAGACAGCACGCUGACUAUGAUCUGAUUAUUGGUCAAAAGGUUAGAACGGAUUAAAUUCGUUAAGGAUGUUGACGUAAUGGCUUUAAACGACC
rnacentral:rRNA from 1 species